AGGCAGAGGCAGUUCAGGGGGUAUUCUGGUUGCCUUACCCAGCUCUGAAGUCUGUCAGCCUCUUCAGAUGUCACUUGCCCUGUGGUAAGGAAGUGUAGUCAGCACCUGGUGCAGUGGCAAGAAGAGAAAGGAAGUUCCCCAAGACAGAAACAUCUCAGCAGUGAGUUCCUGAUGAGGGAAGGGAAGUGAAUCCUAAGAACAAUCAUGUGAGUUUGGAAGGAGACCCUUCCCCAGCUGAGCCUCAGCCUGAGCCAUCACCUACAUCUAGACCGAAGACCCAGAGAAACCGUGAGUAAUAUGUGUGUGGUUCUGAGCCACUAAGGCAACAUUCGAAACCCAGGUGCCACUCCUUCAGGAAGGUACCAUCAAGCUCCAAGGACUCUUAUCCUCUUUCUCCUUCCCCACUACCUAGUCAUUAGAGCGUCAGCAUCCACUUCUUGAAAGGAAGAUGCCUGUUUUUCACAUAUCCCAGAAAACCCCAUUUUAGGACAGCAUUUAGCAGAGUAUAUUCAGGAUCCCACUAACCUUUUUGGAAGACAUGACUUCCAGAUGAUAUAAGGCAAGAAUAAGAAAUUUCAGUGACAGGGAACAGAAAUCAUAUUUCUGCAUUCAGGAUCAUGUUUUCUUGGCUCCAUCAGGAACUGUGCAGGACUGUGCACUCUGUUGAUACUCACAUGGUGGAAUUAUAUUGCCUUUGGCCAACCCUAAAGCCAUCAAGAUAGCAGGUCUGGUCUACCGAGAAGAGAGAUCAAAGAGCUCUUCAGCUGUUCCCAGCUCCCCACACAAAUCUACCUAACAAAGUCCCGAUAAACAGUCUGUUUUCUGGAGUCUAUCAAUACUGAUGAGGUCUUGUUCUUUUGGCCAGGCUGGAGUGCAGUGGUACAGUCGUGACUCACUGCAGCUUCAAACACCUGGGUUCCAGCAUUCAUCCCACUUCAGCCUCCCGUGUAGCCGGGACUACAGAUUUGUCUUUCCUUUUGGCUGAGACCGUGGUAACCAAUAAACUCUUUACUUUCUCUA
ensembl:lncRNA PWRN1 Prader-Willi region non-protein coding RNA 1